GAUGUUAUGAUUCUAUAUCAUCUACAUCUAUAUUCUCUUUGCUAAGUCAUAACUUGGUAACCAGUCAUAUACUUUGGAACAUUCAUCCUCUUAGCUGUUCCCAUCCAGGUAGCCCAACUGGGUGAACCUCAAAUUCCAUUUGUGUGUGCUCUGGAGAAAAACCUCCAUUCUCAUAAUUGCCUGCAUCCUGCCCUUGAGAGAGGAAAACCCUGGACAAAGAGCAGGAAUUCCUACUUCACACCUUGGGGAAUAAUAUUCAGUAACUCCUUACCCAGAGAGGUAGAUCAAGCGGAAACUAUGAACAUCUGGGAAAAAAGGUUCAGAUGAGUUCAUGGCUGCCUAAGCUAAAAUGAGUCAUUCAAGGAAACAAGGCUGGGCAAGCCUGGCCUUUGAAGAGACUGUAAGGGAUUUAAUCAAGGAAAGGAAAAAGGGAAAUUAUACAAGAAAGCAUAACAUCUGUCAGACCAGGAUUGUAUCCAUCGCCCUCUACUGACAAAGGAGUCACCCAAUACUGAAAAUUGGUUUCAAUUUCUUCAGUGGCAAAGCUUGGGAUUUGAAUCACAACUAUUCCUAGACUAGCCUGGGAAUUAAUAUGUCUUGUUACUAGACCUGUCUCUGUCUCCAGUGUGACAUUGGGGAUUCAGAAUCACUUCAAUCAAAACUUCCAUUAAGUCUUGACAGCUUUGAGUGUGGAAUAUGUUGACAAGAUCAGAGCCAUUAAUAAUGGGCUGGCCCAAGCUCCCAGAUCCAUGAUUCAAAGAUGUUUGUGUGGAUGAAUAAUACACUCUGGGCUCAUCUAAUUUUUCAAGUUUAAUGCCACAUACUAUACUGCAGUUUAUUUGUGCCAGCAUUUUUCUUGAUGCCAAUUCAUGAGGAUUCCAGAAAUAUAUUUGAUGGAAAGUUUCCAAGGGGACUUGGUGUUAUUUGCUACAAAGGUUCAUUGGUCUUCGGUCUGGGAAGAAACAUUCAUCACCGCUAGUUCAGGGAAGAGACAAUACAAUUCCCACUCCCUUGAGUCUCUCCCUGAUCUGCCUGACUGCCUGGAUUGCCUUUUUCUGGAGGAGAGCACAUCUCAUCUAGGUAAAUCACAAGUUUGUUGUAUCUUCUCCCUAAUGAUCUUCCCACUCUGGAGAUGCCUUCACCCCUGUGUUUCUCCUCUCAGAAUGGCCAGUUCCUUGCUGGGAGCAUCUCAGGAGGUAUGACUCAUGCCAUUUGUACUCUUCUCUUUCCUGACUCUACUCCUAACUUUUUGGACUUUUCUAUUUCCUUGUCAAUAAACAACUUUCCAAGCCUCAUGUGAGCUCUUCCAACUAUUUCCAGUUCCUUUUAAUGGAUUGUUUCCCUGCCAUUAAAACAUAAACCUGUUGAGGGCUGAUUCUGGCUUUUUUGCUUUACAUUUAUUUUCCAAACCCUUAGCACAUUGCCUAGAAUAGAGUAAGCAAUAGAAUUGUGAUUCUGACUCCACAUUCAUUGUUCUUCCUACUCUAAGACAGAUUCAGCAUGAACAGAGCAUUGGGUAAGAGACACUGAAGCCACCCCAAAAGCGACAGUGUAUAUUAACAUUGCUUUCAACAUCAGGACAAAUUAUAGAACACAGACUCUUUUUGUUAAGAAAGGAACUAGAAUCUAUUCACGACACCCAUUAAUUAUGGUAGCAGCAGCAAACAAACAAGUAUUAUUUGUUUGUUUGUUUUUUCUGUUCAAUUCCUUGGAAUGGAGAAGGAAAGAGGAUGGUUUCCUUAACUAAGGUUUCUUUUAGAAUUUUACAGUCUCAGGGUCACAAAGGAUCUUAGAAAGCAUUCAUUCAAGAUAUUGCCUCUAUGGCUUCUUCAAAGGAAUUAUCCCACCUCUAUUUAAACACCUUUUAGGAUGGAGAAAUCCUGACUUAAUGAAUCACCCCAACUGCUACUGAAGAGCUCUCAUUAUUGGAAAGUUUUUCCUAAUAACAAUGUGGUCUAUCUUCCUUUUACCUCUAUUGUCCUUUCCCCUAUUGAUCCUAAUUCUGCCCUCUGAGAUCAUUGACAGCAACCAGACUCCAUCUUCUACUCAACAACCCUUCAGCUGCCUUGUAGGUAGAAGGGAAUUUUGAGAUUAGGUAGGUCAACAGCCUCAUUUUUUUAAUACAGAGAUCAUUUCCCCUCUAAGUAUUUUAUUCAGGCUAAAAAUCCCCAAGUGCUAUGCAGUACCCCUUACAGCCUACUUCCUUGUAAGUCACAGUAGCUGGAUGGGUCCCCCAGGGGAUGAAUCCCAGGGUCAAGUUCCCCUCUCUUCCAAGCUUCUAAAAUGACCUGCACACUAUUGCCAUCUGGGUCCUCAAAAUAUUCCAAGGCUUGGGAUGGGGAGGGAAAGGGAUGCCAACUGUUGUCAAGGGUCGAUGGGCUAUUUUGUAGAAGAGGAAUUCAUCGGACUUACUCUGUCUGGCCCCUGCAGCACAGAACCAAGAGCAAUGGAGGGACGUGACCAAAAGUUAUAUUUAGGCUGAAAUAAAUUAGAGUAGCUUACAAAUGGCACCUAAGCUGCCAUAAGUGGUAAUGAGCUUCCUCUCUGCAAAUGUCUUCAAUCAGAGGCUAAAGAACCACGUAGGAUGAUAGAAUCAUAGAUUGAGAGGUAGAUGGGACUUCAGAGGUCUUCAAGUCCAGUUCGCUCAUUUUACAGAUCAAGAAGGCGAGGCUGAAAGUGGUUAAGUGAUUUGCCCAGGGUCCUGCAAUUAUUAGCAUCUAAACCCAAGUCAUCCUCAUUCCAAGUCUCGAGCUCUAAACAUUGUACUACCUAGCUGCCUCACUAGUGGGAAUUCCUUUCACGUAUGAGUUGGAGUAGACAACUGUUGAGGGUUUCCAACUCUCACAACCUGGAAAUCUGUGUCUAGAAUGAUGAGACUUGACCAGAUGACAUUUGGAACUUUGUGAGGUACUUACAAUUUUGAUCUUUCUCAUGAAGAAUUGUUGUUUUUAAGAUUAAUACCUUCUUGGGGAUGCUUUAUGCCUAUGAAUGAUAGAACAUCAUCAUCUCUGAGGAAUCUCAGUGACUGGUGACCCAGAGGGCAAUGGAACUGUACAUGGCAUGUGUAAGCUGAUGACAGCAAAUUUACUGAUAAUGGCAUGCGAAAGAAGUGGCCAAAAAGACAUCAUCAAGGGCAUGAAUCACCAGAAAAAUUGAUGGGGGGUAAAAUGGAGACCACUAGAGUACUACAACCACCAGGAUAUUAAGAAAUCAGAGGAAUACCUACAUAUAGCACAAUGAGGCUCCUAGGUAGUUUGGAGAUAGAGUGUGAGGCUUGGAGUCACAAAGACAUGAGUUGAAAACAGUCCCAAGGCACCAGCUGUAAAACCCUAGAGAAGUCACGUAUUCUGCCUUAAUUUCUUUCAUUGUAAAAUGGGAUAAAAAAGCAUCUACCUCUCAAAAUUGUUGGGAGGCUCAAAUGAGAUAAUGCUUAUAAAACAUUUAGGACAAUGACUGGCAUAUAGAAGAUGCUGUGCAGAUGGAAAUUUUGCCACACCUGAGUUACAGUCUCAGCAUCCUUUUAAGUUAUGUCCUCUUUUUACAUAAGGAUGCUUGGGAGAUAAAUUUGUCUGAGACCCAUGCUGUGAGGCUCUUUUUUUAGAGCUUGUGCUUUUGGUAAAGAGCUGCAGGUGUGCGUCUCUGGCUCUCUUUGCUCUGCUCACUUGACUGAAAGAACCCUUUUUCUUUUCCUUCUCUUUAAAUUAUUAUUAAAAUACUACAAUGCUUAAUAAAUGCUUAUUUCUGUUAUUGCUAUGUCAAAUGCCAUAAGGAAACACUAAGGUGAUAUUUUGCACUAGAUGGGCUGCGAUCCCUCUCAGAGGAGGGAGCACCCUGACCCUUGAGAUUGUAGAUCACAUCAGGAUCUCUUCUGAUCAUAUGGAGCUGCUAAAUUUGCACAGUAUCUCCCUUACUAUUUCUUAGAACGCCUUGAUUUUUACCAUCAGAGACUCAUAUCUUUUUCUUAAAGUAUUGCCUGGUCCUGCAAUUACCUUCUGAACUGCAAAUUCCUAGUACAGAACUCUGCAUCAAGUUCUCAUCUUUCCUCUCUCCUGAAUUCGAAUCACUUAAUACAAACUACUCACUCAGGUUCUCUCCCUAGAUGAUCUAGGGACAGCAUGUCCAAAAUAGAACUCAUUACAUUUUCCAAUUCCUCUUUUCUCUAUCUUUCACAUUAUUGGUAAAUUGAUCUUUCUAAACCAUAGUGAUGACCAUGUCACCUCCUGCUCAAAAACCUUUGGUUUCUCUUUCCCUGCUUGCCCACAUAAUAGAUAUAAACUCCAUAAUCAUGGGUUUUAAGCAUUCAAUAAUAUGGCUUUCACCUACCUUCCUGAUAUUAUUUUGUAUUACUUCCAAUUUAUUCUUGCUUUUUCAGUCAAAGAGGCAUGCUAGCUAUUUGCUGUAUAUACUAUUAUAUCUCUUUUAUCUCUGUGCUUUUAAUGGGUUCCCCAUUUCUGAUCUCUAUCUCCAUGCCACCCCACCACCACAAUCUAGAAAGCACCCUCUCCUUACCUCUUUAAAGCACAAGUUAGGCAUCACCUCCUCCCUAAGACCUUUUUUGGUUCCUCCAGUUAUUAAUGUCCAGGAUUUGCCAUCUGUGUUGGCAAAAGGAAUUCCCACACUAGGAGUUCUGGUACUGAGGAAAUUAUAGAUCCUUCCCAUAACUGAAGUGCUAAAUAAAGACACCUAUUAUGAUUACCAUCAUUGUUAGUAUUAUUGUUCCUCUAGUCUAAACUUCUAUUCUUCAAGACUAAGAUCUUAACCUUUGGCAGGGUAAAAGAAUAUGAUAAAUGAAUUAAUACUUAGGUAAAUUUGUAGCUCAUUACAAGUUCCUCCUUGGAGAAAUUUGUGUGUUUUUGUGUGUCAGAAGAAGGCUGGACCCAGUAAUGGUUUAAUACAAAUGAUUUAGAAAAUGGUAGAAUCCUAGGCAUUGGGGGAGUUACUAUGAGGGAAGUGUGGUCGCAAAGGCAACUAAUCUGUCCUUAAAAUUAUAUAUUCCUGGAAUAUUUUUUAAGGUAAGAGUUCUUAACCUAAAGUCCAUAAGGCCCCCAUCCCUAAAGUAUUCAUAGCUAGAUUUCAGGGUGUGAAUGAAUUUAGAUGGGAAAAAUUGUUCCAUAUAAAUGACUUACUUUAUAAUUCUAUAUAUUUUAUUUUAUUUUAUAUAUUUAAGACAUUAUUCUGAGAAAGGGUCUAUAGGCUUGACAUGUAUGCCAAGGGUUAAGGACCAUUUAUUUAAGAUUCUUCCAGUUAAAAAAUAAUUAAAUUUAUUUUUCUUGACCUCUGAGGGACUUCAUAAUUCAGAAUGUUAGUGCUGGAAGGGUUGUAGAACAUGGGCUAUUAGAGCUGGAAAUGAUCCUUAGUCACUUUAGUCCUAUUCCCUCAUUUCACAGAUGAAGAACCUGAAUGACAAAGAUAGGCAGUUAUUUCUACCAUGGUGUGGUAGGGCGAGGAUGGUUUCAUAUUAUACCCCCAGGGCCUGAUACUUUGCCUGACACAUAAUAGGUUCUUAAUAAAUGUCCAUUGAUUAAAUGCCUUGCCAAAAGUCGUAUUUUGAGUGGAUGGAAAAUAAAGGAUUAGGAUCCAGGAAUCAUUGACUUUCCUUCAAUUCAGUUUUUUUUCCAUAACUAUUAGUCUAGCCCUGGCUAUGUGUGGGCAAGGGAAGGAUGUGGAGGGAAAGGAAGGGCAGAUUUAUAGUUGU